UACGUAGGGGGCGAGCGUUGUCCGGAGUUACUGGGCGUAAAGCGCACGCAGGCGGUCUGCUAAGUUUGGAGUGACAGUUGGUGGCUUAACUGCCAAAGUGCUUCGAAAACUGACAGACUUGAGGGCUUCAGAGGGACACGGAAUUCCGGGUGUAGCGGUGGAAUGCGUAGAGAUCCGGAAGAACACCGGUGGCGAAGGCGGUGAGCUGGGCAGUUGCUGACACUGAGGCGCGACAGCGUGGGGAGCGAACAGG
rnacentral:rRNA from 1 species